rnacentral:rRNA from 1 species
AUUGAACGCUGGCGGCAGGCCUAACACAUGCAAGUCGAACGAGUGGCGGACGGGUGAGUAAUGUCUGGGAAACUGCCUGAGGGAGGGGGAUAACUACUGGAAACGGUAGCUAAUACCGCAUACCAUCAGAUGUGCCCAGAGGGGAUUAGCUUGUGGGUGGGGUAACGGCUCACCAAGGCGACGAUCCCUAGCUGGUCUGAGAGGAUGCACAGCCACACUGGGACUGAGACACGGCCCAGACUCCUACGGGAGGCAGCAGUGGGGAAUAUUGCACAAUGGGCGCAAGCCUGAUGCAGCCAUGCCGCGUGUAUGAAGAAGGCCUUAGGGUUGUAAAGUACUUUCAGUGGGGAGGCGUUACCCACAGAAGAAGCACCGGCUAACUACGUGCCAGCAGCCGCGGUAAUAC